rnacentral:rRNA from 1 species
GACGAACGCUGGCGGCGUGCCUAAUACAUGCAAGUAGAACGCUGAAGAGAGGAGCUUGCUUUUUUUGGAUGAGUUGCGCACGGGUGAGUAACGCGUAGGUAACCUGCCUUGUAGCGGGGGAUAACUAUUGGAAACGAUAGCUAAUACCGCAUAACAAUGGAUGACACAUGUCAUUUAUGUGAAAGGGGCAAUUGCUCCACUACAAGAUGGACCUGCGUUGUAUUAGUUAGUAGGUGAGGUAAUGGCUCACCUAGGCGAGGUAACAUAGCCGACCUGAGAGGGUGGGUGGCCACCCUGGGACUGAGACACGGCCCAGAGUCCUACGGGAGGCAGCCGUAGGGAAACGUCGGCAAUGGGGGCAACCCUGACCGAGCAACGCCGCGUGAGUGAAGAAGGUUUUCGGAUCGUAAAGCUCUGUUGUAAGUCAAGAAAGGGUGUGAGAGUGGAAAGUUCACACUGUGACGGUAGCUUACCAGAAAGCGACGGCUAACUACGUG